rnacentral:rRNA from 1 species
ACUCCUACGGGAGGCAGCAGUAGGGAAUCUUCCACAAUGGGCGCAAGCCUGAUGGAGUAACACCGCGUGAGUGAAGAAGGGUUUCGGCUCGUAAAGCUCUGUUGUUAAAGAAGAACACGUAUGAGAGUAACUGUUCAUACGUUGACGGUAUUUAACCAGAAAGUCACGGCUAACUACGUGCCAGCAGCCGCGGUAAUACGUAGGUGGCAAGCGUUAUCCGGAUUUAUUGGGCGUAAAGAGAGUGCAGGCGGUUUUCUAAGUCUGAUGUGAAAGCCUUCGGCUUAACCGGAGAAGUGCAUCGGAAACUGGAUAACUUGAGUGCAGAAGAGGGUAGUGGAACUCCAUGUGUAGCGGUGGAAUGCGUAGAUAUAUGGAAGAACACCAGUGGCGAAGGCGGCUACCUGGUCUGCAACUGACGCUGAGACUCGAAAGCAUGGGUAGCGAACAGGAUUAGAUACCCUGGUAGGAUAGCG